GAUGAACGCUGGCUACAGGCUUAACACAUGCAAGUCGAGGGGAAACGACCGGGAAGCUUGCUUCCCCGGGCGUCGACCCGCGCACGGGUGAGGAACGCGUAUCCAACCUGCCUCUGACUUAGCGAUAACCCGUCGAAAGUCGUCCUAAUACCUCAUUCCAUCUUCUUCGUGCAUCCAACGACGAUUAAACAUUUCGUCGGUCACUGAUGGGGAUGCGUCUGAUUGGCUUGUUGGCGGCGUAACGGCCCACCAAGGCGACGAUCAGUAGGGGUUCUGAGAGGAAGGUCCCCCAGAGGGGAACUGGGACACGGUCCAAACACAUACGGGCGGCAGUAGUGAGGAAUAUUGGAGAAGGGGCGAGAGCCUGAACCGGCCAAGUAGCGUGCAGGAUGACGGCCCUAUGGGUUGUAGACUGCUUUUAGGCGGGGAUAAAGUGAGGGACGGGACCUUCAGUGCAGGUAACGGAUAAAUAAGGACCGGCUAAUUACGUG
rnacentral:rRNA from 1 species